rnacentral:rRNA from 1 species
AACGAACGCUGGCGGCAGGCUUAACACAUGCAAGUCGAGCGCCCCGCAAGGGGAGCGGCAGACGGGUGAGUAACACGUGGGAACGUACCUUUCGCUACGGAAUAGCUCCGGGAAACUGGAAUUAAUACCGUAUGUGCCCUUCGGGGGAAAGAUUUAUCGGCAAAAGAUCGGCCCGCGUCUGAUUAGCUAGUUGGUGGGGUAAUGGCCUACCAAGGCGACGAUCAGUAGCUGGUCUGAGAGGAUGAUCAGCCACACUGGGACUGAGACACGGCCCAGACUCCUACGGGAGGCAGCAGUGGGGAAUAUUGGACAAUGGGCGCAAGCCUGAUCCAGCCAUGCCGCGUGAGUGAUGAAGGCCUUAGGGUUGUAAAGCUCUUUCGCUAGGGAAGAUAAUGACGGUACCUAGAGAAGAAGCCCCGGCUAACUUCGUGCCAGCCGCCGCCGUAAAAC